UAUGAAAUCCAAUUCCGCAUUCAACACAACAGGAGUAAAAAUAGAACGCUUUCGGCUAGAAAAGUUUACGUUUGCUUUCAGAAAAUAGCAUUACUUAUCAAACAAUUUAAACCUUAGAUAUUUUUCGUGGUGCACAGUCUGCAAACGGCGUUGCGUAAAAUUAGAUACCCACAGACGGACGUGAACAAUACAACCAGCUGAUCAGUUAUCUGACUUUUAAUUUUUUCGUUGUUAUUCUUAAAGAAACCACGGUAAUUGUAAGUUUGUAACAUGUUUAACCUAGAAGACAAUCGCGAAUCGCUUGCACCGAAGCGUAUACACUAUUUCAAUAUGUCCAACUUGCUGUACUAUUUCAAUCCGAAGGAUUUCGUCAUCACAUCCAAGUGCAACGUAUUAAUGUUGUUGGUCUUAUUCAAAUUGGUAUUGGCCGUGAUUAUUGUGACCAUUUGCACCCGAAAUCAUGUACAGUCAGGAAAAGAACUUCCGCUUUGCUUGGGGAAUUUACUAGACAACCGGGAACACCAUUAUGCAAAAGAUUCAGAUGGAUCGUACGAUAACAGUCGAAUGAUAUCAAAAUUGGGAUCGUGCCAGCUGACACGUUACACUUUUGAACGAGUAGUUGCCUGUUUUAAUGCGCUUAGUGAGCGACAUUACUUAGCCCAGAAUAACUCUUCUAAUAACCUUAAUGUCGUCAACAGAUUAUAUAAAAAUUUACACUUUGCAUUUAUAGGUGAUUCCAGGAUGCGUCAACAAUAUAUAAACUUUCUCAAGAUUAUUCCAGAUUACGAUCGGAAAUCAAAACCGAGCCCCCUCCCAUUUGUUUAUCACGGUAAUAUGGAAGUUACAAGUGAAAUACUGAGAUUGCGAUUAUCCUUUCAAUGGCAACCUCUCGUUAAUGACACGAUUAUCGAUACGAUACGCCAGUGAGCAACUGAUAGUCAAGCUGAUCGACCAAACUUGAUUUUUCUAGGUAUUGCUUUGUGGUACAUGAUUCAAACACCCGGGGAACAUCAACCUUUCCAAAAACAAUUAGAGCGACUCGCUCCGUUGCUCAGUCAGUUGGCGAAUGUCAGCAAGGUUAUUUGGCUUAAUCAAUACCCAGUCAUGGAAACGUAUGGCGAUAAUGGCGCUGUGAACACGGCGAUUUUUUCGGAAAAGAUCAAUCAUUACAACGAAGACGCUCGGUCUGAACUGCAGCAGAGUUAUUUGCCAAUCAUAUGGGAUUCAAGUAAUUCGUUGGUUGAGGAAUACAUCCGCGGAUGCAUUCUCUUUCGGCAGCGCGUGCAACUUGGGAUGUAUCUGCUCACGGAUCCGGAUUAUUCGUACAUUAACUGCAACGACCACACACACCCGGCUUACUCGGCCCUAUCGCAAGCCACUCAACUUCUUUUACACGACCUUUGCGACGCUCGAAAAUUAUUCUCCCCGUGACAUUUGAAAAUUGAGGAUCAUAUUCAAUUUUGGUACAUAUAUAUCUUGCACUCACAUUCGGAUUGUGAGCGCUAUAUCGACUUUUCCUUUGGUAAAUGGAAUCUCAAACUUUAGCAAGACCGUCAGAAUCACAUACAGUAGGCUACCAAUUG
rnacentral:lncRNA from 1 species